UAGUCUCCCCAGUUCAACUUCUAGGCAAAAUAAUGUUUUUAAAGUAGAUUUUAUCGAAAUAAUAAUAUUUGGUAAGUACUGUAAAGGAAGUUUUUAUUUAAAAAACAAGUAGGGCCCCGUACCUUUUGCAUCAGGGUUAAUUAAUUUACGUUCUAAAUAGAUCAUUCCCGAAAAUUUGUGAGCUAUCUAGUCUGCUAGUUUAUGUAUCAUCAUAUUUAUAAAAGGUUAGAUUGUUGCUAAAAGUAAUUCGGACAAAUAUAUCUGGUUGACCACGUCUUCUUUUAGAGAAGGCACUUAAAUGUUUAUUUACAAGGGGAUGAGCUCUCGUAACUUUUACAUAGAAAAAUACAUUCAAUAUAAAUUAAGGCUUAGAAAUAGCCUAACUGUAAUAAUAAUAAUACUCAGACUUUUAUUUUAAUAUCUAUUAAAAAUUUCAGUGGUUAGCAUAUAGAAGUAAUUCUAUAUACUUAUAAUGAUUAAAUGAGUAAAAUAAAAAUCAAGUGAAAUCUUAAUUUAGGAUUAAAGGAACUCGGCAAAAUAAUCUCCGCCUGUUUAACAAAGACAUGGCCUUGUAUAUAUGUAAGGUCUGGCCUGCCCACUGAUUAUUUGAAGGGCCGUGGUAUUUUAACCAUGCGAAGGUAGCAUAAUCAUUUGCCUUUUAAUUGGAGGCUAGAAUGAAGGGUCGUUCGAGGGAUUGACUGUCUCUAACCUUUAUUUGAAAUUAAUCUUUUAGUGAAAAAGCUAAAGUAAUCUUGAAGGACGAUAAGACCCUAUAGAUCUUUAUAAAAAUAAGAUUAGAAAUUGGUUGUAAAUUCUUUUCACCCCUUUUUAUUGAGUUGGGGCGACGCUAUAUGAAGAUAAAACAUUUAGCCUAUUUAAACACUUACAAGUGGCUAUAAGAUCCUGUAAUGAGAAAAGGAAGUAGUUACCUUAGGGAUAACAGCGUAAUGUUUUUUGAAAGUUCAAAUUGACAAAAAUGUUUACGACCUCGAUGUUGGUUCAGGGAUCCUAUUUAGCGCAGUAGCUUUAUAAGGGAGUCUGUUCGACUUUUAAAUCCCUACGUGAUCUGAGUUCAGACCGGCGUGAGCCAGGUUAGUUUCUACCCUCAAGUUUACCCCUUUAUACUAGUACGAAAGGACCUUAUAAACUUUU
rnacentral:rRNA from 1 species